GGCUUUGUACACUGGCAGUAUCAUAGCCAAUGAGAUUUACCUGAGGCACAAUUAUUGCUACUUGAAAACUUUUCCUAAUGCCCUGCCAUGAUGACUUCAAAUAUUUGGUACAGGGUCUCACU
rnacentral:snRNA from 1 species